rnacentral:ncRNA from 4 species
AGGCAGUGUAAUUAGCUGAUUG